UACGGAGGGAGCUAGCGUUGUUCGGAAUUACUGGGCGUAAAGCGCGCGUAGGCGGCUUUGUAAGUUAGAGGUGAAAGCCCGGAGCUCAACUCCGGAACUGCCUUUAAGACUGCAUCGCUUGAAUCCAGGAGAGGUGAGUGGAAUUCCGAGUGUAGAGGUGAAAUGCGUAGAGAUCCGGAGGAACACCAAAGGCGAAGGCAGUGUCCUGGGGAGUACCUGACGCUCAGGUGCGAAAGCCAGGGGGAGCGAACGGG
rnacentral:rRNA from 1 species